UUCGAAAUUUCAUAUCGUUUUGCUGGUCUCGAAAUUUUAAUUCGGAUGAGCUGUUAUUGGUCUUCAGAGCUCAUUAAUACAUUUUCUGGAGUCAGGACGAAGACGUAAAAUUUCGUGAGUCACGAAACUCGAGUCGCAGAAUAAUCCCCAUCAUUCCAGCAGGCCGUCAUUAGCGAGCUCGAUAAUAAUUCACCUUCUUCAAAUCUAACCCUCGUUUACACUUUGUACCUUUGUGCCAGGAACCUUGCCUUCAAUGAGGUACAUAAAAAAAAAUUAUACAGGUUGCCUUGCCUUCACCCACUAUACUGUCCCGAUUUAAAUUACCUCACGGAAAAUAAUAAAAAGGUAAAAUUCACCGAGAUCAAAAGGUGAACACUCGUGAAAGCCAAGAAGGUAACUUCUACCUCUUCGAGGUGAAUUUCACCUCGAAGCGAGGUAAACUGAAUUGAGCUGAAGCAAAAGGUGUAAUUCACCUAGAAAAAAAGGUAAAUUCAAAAAAGGUAAAUCUUACCUCUGAGCGAGGUGAAAGUUGUCUUUAUGUUUAUUGAGGUUAACCUCUCAUCAAAUCACAUAAACAAAGUUUGAUUUGGCAUGUGCAGAUAAAAUUCAUAAAAUCGGAACGGAAUAAACAGAACGAUUUGAAUUACCUAUCUUGAUGGAAAAGCAUUUUCAGCAUUUCAGAAAUGGAUCCGGCAAAAUAUCCGAACCCUGUUCAUGCUUAUUUUUUUCUACUGGAAAAUGAAUCCCAGUGGUCUGCUCAUGCCAGUUUUCCUGUCAAUUCUUCGCAAGACAAACAACGAUAAGAUUAAAAAUCUACCGAAUAAGGUGGUGUUAUGAUGGAUAUCAUUUUAAUCAAAAGCAGGUAUCAUGCAUGUCCAGGAAAAGUUUAAUCUAUGUAGUUGAGUUUCAACACAGUUCCAGUAAAGAUAUUUAUAAAAUCCGCCAAGAUAAAAUGGCCAAAAAGAAGACAAUGACAUGCCUUCAAUCAACCGCACCUUAUUCUUGUCGAUGUAGAUACUGUAUUCACAAACUAUGCUCAUCCGGAUCAAAACCGCUUUGUAGCCUUGAGUUCAUCUCAAAACGUUGGCCACUUCUCUAAUUCUAUCGAGGCUUCCUGCAUAAACUCUACAUCCAUCCCGGAAGCUGUAUUUCCAUCAAUUUCACUUAAAUACUUUGUGAACCAUAUAUUACAAGAAAAAAAGGGCAAUUCAAAUUAUA